rnacentral:rRNA from 1 species
GACGAACGCUGGCGGCGUGCUUAACACAUGCAAGUCGAACGGAAAGGCCCUGCUUUUGUGGGGUGCUCGAGUGGCGAACGGGUGAGUAACACGUGAGUAACCUGCCCUUGACUUUGGGAUAACUUCAGGAAACUGGGGCUAAUACCGGAUAGGAGCUCCUGCUGCAUGGUGGGGGUUGGAAAGUUUCGGCGGUUGGGGAUGGACUCGCGGCUUAUCAGCUUGUUGGUGGGGUAGUGGCUUACCAAGGCUUUGACGGGUAGCCGGCCUGAGAGGGUGACCGGCCACAGUGGGACUGAGAUACGGCCCAGACUCCUACGGGAGGCAGCAGUGGGGAAUAGUGCACAAUGGGCGGAAGCCUGAUGCAGCAACGCCGCGUGCGGGAUGACGGCCUUCGGGUUGUAAACCGCUUUCGCCUGAGACGAAGCGUGAGUGACGGUAAUGGGUAAAGAAGCACCGGCUAACUACGUG